rnacentral:lncRNA from 1 species
AUUCGCUUAGUUGGUCUACUUUAAAAGGCCACUUGAACUCGCUUUCCAUGGCGAUUUGCCUUGUGAGCACUUUCAGGAGAGCCUGGAAGCUGAAAAACGGUGGUAAACUAUACCUACUGUCCCUCAAGAGAACACAAGAAGUGCUUUAAGAGGCGGCGGAAGGUGAUCGAAUUCCGGUGAUGCGAGUUGUUCUCCGUCUAUAAAUACGCCUCGCCCGAGCUGUGCGGUAGGCAUUGAGGCAGCCAGCGCAGGGGCUUCUGCUGAGGGGGCAGGCGGAGCUUGAGGAAACCGCAGAUAAGUUUUUUUCUCUUUGAAAGAUAGAGAUUAAUACAACUACUUAAAAAAUAUAGUCAAUAGGUUACUAAGAUAUUGCUUAGCGUUAAGUUUUUAACGUAAUUUUAAUAGCUUAAGAUUUUAAGAGAAAAUAUGAAGACUUAGAAGAGUAGCAUGAGGAAGGAAAAGAUAAAAGGUUUCUAAAACAUGACGGAGGUUGAGAUGAAGCUUCUUCAUGGAGUAAAAAAUGUAUUUAAAAGAAAAUUGAGAGAAAGGACUACAGAGCCCCGAAUUAAUACCAAUAGAAGGGCAAUGCUUUUAGAUUAAAAUGAAGGUGACUUAAACAGCUUAAAGUUUAGUUUAAAAGUUGUAGGUGAUUAAAAUAAUUUGAAGGCGAUCUUUUAAAAAGAGAUUAAACCGAAGGUGAUUAAAAGACCUUGAAAUCCAUGACGCAGGGAGAAUUGCGUCAUUUAAAGCCUAGUUAACGCAUUUACUAAACGCAGACGAAAAUGGAAAGAUUAAUUGGGAGUGGUAGGAUGAAACAAUUUGGAGAAGAUAGAAGUUUGAAGUGGAAAACUGGAAGACAGAAGUACGGGAAGGCGAAGAAAAGAAUAGAGAAGAUAGGGAAAUUAGAAGAUAAAAACAUACUUUUAGAAGAAAAAA